rnacentral:rRNA from 1 species
GACGAACGCUGGCGGCGUGCUUAACACAUGCAAGUCGAGCGGUAAGGCCCUUUCGGGGGUACACGAGCGGCGAACGGGUGAGUAACACGUGGGUGACCUGCCCUCAGCUCUGGGAUAAGCCUGGGAAACCGGGUCUAAUACUGGAUAUGACUCCAUGACGCAUGUUGUGGGGUGGAAAGCCUUGUGCGGCUGAGGAUGGGCCCGCGGCCUAUCAGCUUGUUGGUGGGGUGANGGCCUACCAAGGCGACGACGGGUAGCCGGCCUGAGAGGGCGACCGGCCACACUGGGACUGAGACACGGCCCAGACUCCUGCGGGAGGGCAGCAGUGGGGAAUCUUGCGCAAUGGGCGAAAGCCUGACGCAGCGACGCCGCGUGAGGGAUGACGGCCU